rnacentral:rRNA from 1 species
GAGAGUUGGGUUAGUCCGCACGAGCGCACCUUGCUCUUUAUUUGCUACGCAAGAGCACUCUAGAGAGACUGCCGGUGACAAACCGGAGGAAGGUGGGGAUGACGUCAAGUCCUCAUGGCCCUUAUGGGUAGGGCUUCACACGUCAUACAAUGGUGCGUACAGAGGGUUGCCAACCCGCGAGGGGGAGCUAAUCCCAGAAAACGCAUCGUAGUCCGGAUCGUAGUCUGCAACUCGACUACGUGAAGCUGGAAUCGCUAGUAAUCGCGGAUCAGCAUGCCGCGGUGAAUACGUUCCCGGGUCUUGUACACACCGCCCGUCACACCAUGGGAGUGGGUUUUGGCAGAAGUAGUUAGCCUAACCGCAAGGAGGGCGAUUACCACGGCAGGGUUCAUGACUGGGGUGAAGUCGUAACAAGGUAGCCGUAUCGGAAGGUGCGGCUGGAUCACCUCCUUU